rnacentral:lncRNA from 1 species
UUUUAUUUUAUUUUUUUAUUUUAUUUUAUUUUAUUUUAUUUAUUUAUUUAUUUAUUUAUUUUAUUGUAUAUUGUAUAUCCACAAUUUAUUUCCGUAUUUAUACGGUAUUGCAUACUUUAGACGAACUUCCCAGUCGGCGACCCGACUUCCCAGUGGGUCACCCAUCUUGCUUGUGCUAUGUGUCAAGCACGCUUAACUUUGAAAUCUUUUCGAGUGAUCACCAGUACAGAACACUCGUAUUAUUGAUAUAUCUACAUCUAUUAAUUCAUUUAAAUGCUAUAUACUCACUCAUAUAAUUAUAAUCUUUGAAUAUGUGGAGAUAAUACCUUAAAUAUGUUGUUAAUUAGUGAGCGAGUUCGUUUCGGUCCUUAUUUUUAUCGUCG